rnacentral:rRNA from 1 species
GACGAACGCUGGCGGCGUGCUUAACACAUGCAAGUCGAACGGUAAGGCCCUUCGGGGUACGACGAGUGGCGAACGGGUGAGUAACACGUGGGUGAUCUGCCCUGCACUUCGGGAUAAGCUUGGGAAACUGGGUCUAAUACCGGAUAGGACCACGGUCUGCAUGGAUUGUGGUGGAAAGCUUUUGCGGUGUGGGAUGGGCCCGCGGCCUAUCAGCUUGUUGGUGGGGUGAUGGCCUACCAAGGCGACGACGGGUAGCCGGCCUGAGAGGGUGUCCGGCCACACUGGGACUGAGAUACGGCCCAGACUCCUACGGGAGGCAGCAGUGGGGAAUAUUGCACAAUGGGCGCAAGCCUGAUGCAGCGACGCCGCGU